UCGAACGAGAAAGUGGAGCAAUCCAUGAGUACAGUGGCGACCGGGUGAGUAACACGUGACCAACCUGCCCUCGAGUGGGGAAUAACUCCGGGAAACCGGGGCUAAUACCGCAUAACAUCCUCGGAUCGGAAGAACUGGGGAUCAAAGGAGCAAUUCGCUUGAGGAGGGGGUCGCGGCUGAUUAGCUAGUUGGCGGGGUAACGGCCCACCAAGGCAAAGAUCGGUAUCCGGCCUGAGAGGGCGCACGGACACACUGGAACUGAAACACGGUCCAGACUCCUACGGGAGGCAGCAGUGGGGAAUUUUGCGCAAUGGGGGAAACCCUGACGCAGCAACGCCGCGUGGAGGAUGAAGUCGCCUUGGGACGUAAACUCCUUUCGACCGGGACGAUAAUGACGGUACCGGUGGAAGAAGCACCGGCUAACUCUGUG
rnacentral:rRNA from 1 species